AAGCCCAACAUAAGCGAGGGCUGGGGGCUCCCAGGUGCGGAAUCCACUGCAGAAACCCCGCAGGGCCGUUGGCGCUCCGCCACCUCGCCACGCCCCCGCACAGGCCACUCACUCCUCCAACGCCCACCCCCCGGGAAACCCCUGGAGGCCUCCGGUAGGACGCAGCGCGGGCAGAGCGCUUCGGAGAAACGCAGGGGAAGGGGGAGUCAGGUGGGCGGGGAACGAGCCUAUCCCGACUCCGCAAGUCUAUUCCCACAGAAGAGCGGCGACCAGCAAUAUAGGGCUCAGAUUGCCACCCGCGAGGGUCCCGGGCCUGGGCCCCCAGGCCAAGUAGGCCGACCCCCGCCCCUUCCUCGAGCCGUUAGCGCCGCGGCCCCACCCCUCGCGGCCGGCCGCGCCCCGCCCCGUUCGCCCCAUGCCGCUACCCCAGCCAGCCGCGGCCCCGGGCACCUGCUAGGUGGAGUGGGCCCGGAGCUGCCUGCCGCGUCCGGAAGGCCGAGGAACCAGGCUUCCAUACCUGCACUUUCCUCCGCCCUGCCGUGUUCUGCCGGUGAUGGGCCGCCAUCUUGCAUGUUGACACUCAGACGUCACUUCCGGAGGUGGCUGAGACCGGGCGGAUGUCCUGCCCCCUUCCCUUUGGCCAAGGGUUCGUGGCGGGGCUGAAGGAGUAGAAGUCUGGAAAAGGUCUCGUGAAAAGCUUUUGUUUUUGGCUGCUGUGGUUGUUGUUUUCAGAUUGUCCUCGUGCUUCACGUGUUUCUGGCUCCGGGCUCGGUGCAUUUGCUGAAGACGGGGCAAGUAUCCAGUAUGUCUUUGCCCCAUACUCCAGAAUGGGCGUCUCGUUUACCAGAGGGGACAGCGCCAGAAUCUGAGCAACCCACUGCACCGGCGAAAACAGCGGCAUUAAGAUUGAUGGUGCUUUUCUGCCUGGGAAUCUCUGGUCUGGCUUCCUUCUUGAGUCUGUCCUUCAAUCAGCUGAAUAGGCGACUCUGCCUUCCGGGAGCUCCAAAUGUCGACCAAAACGGGAUCCAGUCCAUUCUGCACCAAGAACCUCCACACCGGCCACAAGAGUCGCACUGGCGACCCAUGGGGCUCCUCUGCUGGGAAUCUCCUGGUCCGUGAGCAACAAAAAUUCGUCUGAAAGUGUGGCGUCCUCUUAUUCUCUGUGUUUUCACUGGGAGCUACAAUCCUGAACUGCUGGUGAUCAGCCAUCUUGGAUCUCUCUCUCAGCUUCACACAUACAUUCUCAAUUUUUAUAUUUUUAGUAGAGAUGGGGUUUCAUCAUGUUGGCCAGGCUGGUCUCCAACUCCUGACCUCAAGUGAUCCUCCUGCUUUGGUCUGCCAAAGUGUUGGGAUUACAGGCAAGUGAGAGCCAUCGGCCUGGCCAACACCUGUUUUAAAUACAGUCUUUACAAUAUCCUUUUGCAGUUGUCAGAAGUCAUGGUGCUGAAUGGUUCUUUGUUCAACAGUUCACUUAUUUCUGAACACACUGAGAAAAAAAAUCCUUUGGUUCUUUUAUCUCUUUCUGUCUAUAUAUUUUACAUCCCAAUAUUAGACACAUAAACCAGUCCAUUUUUCAUUUCAAAAAUGCUUUGACCUCCUCUCGGUUUCCCACUGGAGGGCAGCAGAGAACCAUCCAGGCCAUCCUUGAUUUGAACAAACUACUGUGACAAGUCAGACUUUAAAAUACUUAUUUCCCACUGAUGAAAAGUCAUCACCAGAGUAUCUUUUCAGGAAACCCAUUUUCUCCUAUAAAAGUGCUAUAAUUGAUCAUGAAAAUAAAUGAAGAAAAAUAAAAGGACUGGGAACAGUGGCUCAUGCCUGUAAUUCCAGCACUUUGGGAGGCUGAGGUGGUUGGAUUGCUUGAGAUUGGGAGUUCAAGACCAGCCUCACCAACAUGGAGAAACCCCAUCUCUACUAAAAAAUACAAAAUUAGCCAGGCAUGGUGGUGCAUGCCUGUCAGUUACUUGGGAGGCUGAGGUAGGAGAAUCGCUUGAAUUUGGGAGGCAGAGGUUGUGGUGAGCCGAGAUUGUGCCACUACACUUCAGCCUGGGCAACAAAAGCAAAACUCCAUCUCAAAAAUAAAAUAAAGCAAAAUGUGUUUGUAAACUCUUUAAUAAGUGGGCAAAAUAAAAACAAUAUAAAAAUCGUA